CCUGAAAAAUGAGCACUGUUACUCUGCAGAAAUAAAACCAAAGAACCUUACUAAAAGCUCGAUUCUUCCUUUUUGAAGUUUGUUGAGAUUUCACGUUGAAAUUCAACAAACUUGAGCUAAAGCCACAGUUUAUUGAAAACGGUUACCACGGUGAUAACAGCGACGGGAAGAAGAUUCGAAGCAAGAGAAGCAAAGAGAAACCAGAGUAGAAUCGCUUACCCAAGAUACUCCAGAGUAGUAUUGCUGAAGUAAGUGGACGGUAGCUCACUCGAGAUUAGCCGGAGAGUUUUGUAUUUUAGUUGAAGAUUAGGUAAUGAGUCAAUGCUCUGGUCAUGUAACACGGGGUAGAUUGUUAGUAUUGAACUCAUAUCUUAUUUGGAUAUGCAUUACGUUAUUACUUGUGAACGUGUUUAUUUGAAAUUUGUUGUUUGAGAGGCCAUAGUGCCAAAUAUUCUGGAUAUGGUUUUAGUUUAUCUUGAAGAGAUUAUUGAGAGAUGAUCAUGGUAUGGGACAUGGAUCAUUUUAUGAAAUGCAUGAGUAUUCAUUA